rnacentral:rRNA from 1 species
AACGAACGCUGGCGGCAGGCCUAACACAUGCAAGUCGAGCGAGGACUUCGGUUCUAGCGGCGGACGGGUGAGUAACGCGUGGGAAUGUGCCCUUCUCUACGGAAUAGCCCUGGGAAACUGGGAGUAAUACCGUAUACGCCCUUUUGGGGAAAGAUUUAUCGGAGAAGGAUCAGCCCGCGUUGGAUUAGGUAGUUGGUGGGGUAAUGGCCUACCAAGCCGACGAUCCAUAGCUGGUUUGAGAGGAUGAUCAGCCACACUGGGACUGAGACACGGCCCAGACUCCUACGGGAGGCAGCAGUGGGGAAUCUUAGACAAUGGGGGCAAACCUGAUCUAGCCAUGCCGCGUGAGUGAUGAAGGCCUUAGGGUUGUAAAGCUCUUUCAGCUGGGAAGAUAAUGACGGUACCAGCAGAAGAAGCCCCGGCUAACUCCGUG